CAAUAGCGUAUAUUUAAGUUGCUGCAGUUAAAAAGCUCGUAGUUGGAUUUCGGGUGGGAAUGGCCGGUCCGCCGUUUCGGUGUGCACUUGCUACGCCCACCUUGCUGCCGGGGACGUGCUCUUGAGUUCACGCUCGGGACACGGAGUCGGCGAGGUUACUUUGAGUAAAUUAGAGUGUUCAAAGCAGGCCUACGCUGUGAAUACAUUAGCAUGGAAUAACACGAUAGGACUCUGGCCUAUCUUGUUGGUCUGUAGGACCGGAGUAAUGAUUAAGAGGGACAGUCGGGGGCAUUCGUAUUUCAUUGUCAGAGGUGAAAUUCUUGGAUUUAUGAAAGACGAACUACUGCGAAAGCAUUUGCCAAGGAUGUUUUCAUUAA
rnacentral:rRNA from 1 species